GGUUGAUCCUGCCAGUAGUCAUAUGCUUGUCUCAAAGAUUAAGCCAUGCAUGUCUAAGUAUAAACAAGUUUAUACUGUGAAACUGCGCACAGCUCAUUAUAUCAGCAAUAAUUUAUUUGAUGGUUACUUACUACAUGGAUACCCGUAGUAAUUCUAGAGCUAAUACAUGCGUUAAAGUCCCGACUCCUUUAUUGGGGGAGGGAUGUAUUUAUUAGAUAAAAAACCAAUGGCUUCUUCCUUUACGGGAGGGAGUCCUCUUUGGUGAUUCAUAAUAACUGUUCGAAUCGCAUGG
rnacentral:rRNA from 1 species